GGGGGCUAUCCUGGGCUGGCAGCGGCAGGAGGUCUCACCGCCUGGUGCCCGCUGGGUUAGACUGUGGUUACAAGGUGCUGGUCUGGUAGGACGGCUGCGGCUGGGCUGUUCUGUGGGCUAGCCUGGAGCUCCAUCUUGGCGUGCGUGCAGGCUAGCCCGCUUUCUGGGCUCUGCUUCUCCACCCCCAUGACUCCCUGGUUG
rnacentral:lncRNA from 1 species